GCCAGGUAUGGAGUCGUGUGCCUGUGAUCCCACAGCUGGGGAGGCUGAGGCAGGAGAAUCCCAAACUCAAGGCCAGCCUUGGCAACUCAGUGAUUACCUAAGCAACUUAGCGAGACCCUGUCUCUA
rnacentral:sRNA from 1 species